GACGAACGCUGGCGGCGGGCUUAACACAUGCAAGUUGAACGGAAAGGCCCUGCUUUUGUGGGGUGCUCGAGUGGCGAACGGGUGAGUAACACUUUGGUAACCUGCCCUUGACUUUGGGAUAACUUCAUGAAACUGGGGCUAAUACCGGAUAGGAGCUCCUGCUGCAUGGUGGGGGUUGGAUAGUUUCGGCGGUUGGGGAUGGACUCGCGGCUUAUCAGCUUGUUGGUGGGGUGGUGUCUUACCAAGGCUUGGCAGGGUAGCCGGCCUGCGAGGGUGACCGGACACAUUGGGACUGAGAUACGGCACAGACUCCUACGGGAGGCAGCAGUGGGGAGUAGUGCACAAGGGGCGGAAGCCUGAUGCAGCAACGCCGCGUGCGGGAUGACGGCCUGCGGGUUGUAAACCGAUUUCGCCUGUGACGAAGCGUGAGUGACGGUAACGGGUAAAGAAGCACCGGCUAACUACGUG
rnacentral:rRNA from 1 species